UGAGAUUUCUUUUUCUUCGUGACGCUGUCCGAUACCCUAGCAUGUGGCUCAUGGCGGGGCACUUUUUUUCUUGACGUUUUUCGUCAACGCCUGGUGAAGUGUGAAGUCCGAGCUUCUUCAUUGCAUUACGUGCACGUGAUCAUUGCCUUCAUGAAGAGGUUCUCGACUCAUUUGCAAGACAAUUGAGAUGAAAAGAGGAAAUUUGAAAGGGUUCGUGUUCAGCUUGAUCUGUUAAUGGUGUUCGGUGUGCAGUGGUUUUGCAGUCAUCCAGUUGAGAAAUGCACUGAGAUGGAUGAUCAGCUGCUGAGAGUUUUUUGUCUUCAUCAUCGUCUUUUUUCUAUGGAGACGCCGUCCGAGAAGGUUAAGCUUGGCCGUUGCAGUCAACUUUCUCUCUUGACAUUGCUUGUCAUAAAAAUUGUAAUAAUUCCUGCCUUUAUUCCUUAAGGUUAUUAAAUUUAAUUAUUUUGUUUGGUAAACUUAUGGGGAUCAUGGCUUUUGACUUGUA